GCUCAAGUGGCCAAGUUGGUAAGGCGUCACACUCGUACGAAAUGCGAAGAUCGAGUGUUCGACUCACUUCUUGAGCA
rnacentral:tRNA from 1 species